rnacentral:rRNA from 1 species
UACAUGAGUGACUAGCGUUAUCCGUAAUUAUUAGGCGUAGAGGGUGCGUAGACUGUAAAAGAAGUUAUAUUUAACUAAACCGGUUUAUCAAGUUUAAAUAUAAAACCUUUUUACUAGAAUAUCUAGAGUGUAAAAUAAAGUUUUUUAGCUAGUGAUAAAAUACUAUGAGCUAACAAGCUUCUUCAAGGGUGGAAACGAUUAACUCGACGAUAUUGACGUUGAAGCACGAAAGCAGGGGCAUCAAAUAGG